rnacentral:rRNA from 1 species
UACGUAGGGGUGCAAGCGUUAAUCGGAAUUACUGGGCGUAAAGUGUGCGCAGGCGGCUUCGCAAGUCGAGUGUGAAAUCCCCGAGCUUAACUUGGGAAUUGCGCUCGAAACUACGGAGCUGGAGUGUGGCAGAGGAAGGUGGAAUUCCACGUGUAGCGGUGAAAUGCGUAGAGAUGUGGAGGAACACCGAUGGCGAAGGCAGCCUUCUGGGCCAACACUGACGCUCAUGCACGAAAGCGUGGGGAGCAAACAGG